CCUAUUUAUGACGAGGAACUAGUGUCUUAUAUAUUGUUAGGCCUUGACAUUGACUAUAACCCGCUAGUAUCCUCUGUUGUCAAUAGAUCUGAUCCUAUUUCAUUGAGUGAUCUUUAUGCGCGGAUGAUGAGCUAUGACA